rnacentral:misc_RNA from 1 species
CAGAAUAUACCUUAUUCUCUCCCUGUGCAUACCAAACCUCUGUUGCCUCGGCGCGCUGCUGCGCCAGAGGACCCAAACGCUGAAAUUAUACUGUCUGAGGCACUAUGCAAAAUAGUCA